AUGCACGCUGGCGGCGUGCCUAAUCCAUGCAAGUCGCGCGAACAGACGAGGAGCUUGCUCCUCUGACGUUAGCGGCGGACGGGUGAGUAACACGUGGAUAACCUACCUAUAAGACUGGGAUAACUUCGGGAAACCGGAGCUAAUACCGGAUAAUAUAUUGAACCGCAUGGUUCAAUAGUGAAAGACGGUUUUGCUGUCACUUAUAGAUGGAUCCGCGCCGCAUUAGCUAGUUGGUAAGGUAACGGCUUACCAAGGCAACGAUGCGUAGCCGACCUGAGAGGGUGAUCGGCCACACUGGAACUGAGCCACGGUCCAGACUCCUACGGGAGGCAGCAGUAGGGAAUCUUCCGCAAUGGGCGAAAGCCUGACGGAGCAACGCCGCGUGAGUGAUGAAGGUCUUCGGAUCGUAAAACUCUGUUAUUAGGGAAGAACAAAUGUGUAAGUAACUAUGCACGUCUUGACGGUACCUAAUCAGAAAGCCACGGCUAACUACGUG
rnacentral:rRNA from 1 species